rnacentral:rRNA from 1 species
AUGCAGUCGAACGCUGAUCCGGUUUCGGCCGGUGAUGAGUGGCGAACGGGUGAGUAACACGUGGGUAAUCUGCCCCGCACUCUGGGAUAAGCCCGGGAAACUGGGUCUAAUACCGGAUAUACACUGGUGGCCUCAUGGUCUGCUGGUGGAAAGCUUUUGCGGUGUGGGAUGAGCCCGCGGCCUAUCAGCUUGUUGGUGGGGUGAUGGCCUACCAAGGCGACGACGGGUAGCCGGCCUGAGAGGGUGACCGGCCACACUGGGACUGAGACACGGCCCAGACUCCUACGGGAGGCAGCAGUGGGGAAUAUUGCACAAUGGGCGGAAGCCUGAUGCAGCGACGCCGCGUGAGGGAUGACGGCCUUCGGGUUGUAAACCUCUUUCAGCAGGGAAGAAGCCUUUCGGGGUGACGGUACCUGUAGAAGAAGCACCGGCUAACUACGUGCCAGCAGCCGCGGUAAUACGUAGGGUGCGAGCGUUGUCCGGAAUUAUUGGGCGUAAAGAGCUCGUAGGCGGUUUGUCGCGUCGGUUGUGAAAGCCCGGGGCUUAACCCUGGGUCUGCAGUCGAUACGGGCAGGCUAGAGUUCGGCAGGGGAGACUGGAAUUCCUGGUGUAGCGGUGAAAUGCGCAGAUAUCAGGAGGAACACCGGUGGCGAAGGCGGGUCUCUGGGCCGAUACUGACGCUGAGGAGCGAAAGCGUGGGGAGCGAACAGGAUUAGAUACCCUGGUAGUCCACGCUGUAAACGGUGGGAACUAGGUGUGGGCAGCAUUCCACGUUGUCUGUGCCGUAGCUAACGCAUUAAGUUCCCCGCCUGGGGAGUACGGCCGCAAGGCUAAAACUCAAAGGAAUUGACGGGGGCCCGCACAAGCGGCGGAGCAUGUGGCUUAAUUCGACGCAACGCGAAGAACCUUACCAAGGCUUGACAUAUGCCGGAUAGCCCUGGAAAACAGGGUGUCUCUUUGAGUCGGUGUACAGGUGGUGCAUGGCUUGUCGUCAGCUCGUGUCGUGAGAUGUUGGGUUAAGUCCCGCAACGAGCGCAACCUUUGUCCUGUGUUGCCAGCAACAUUCCUUUUGGGGUGGUUGGGGACUCACGGGAGACUGCCGGGGUCAACUCGGAGGAAGGUGGGGACGACGUCAAGUCAUCAUGCCCCUUAUGUCUUGGGCUGCACACGUGCUACAAUGGCCGGUACAAUGAGCUGCGAUGCCGUGAGGUGGAGCGAAUCUCAAAAAGCCGGUCUCAGUUCGGAUUGGGGUCUGCAACUCGACCCCAUGAAGUCGGAGUCGCUAGUAAUCGCAGAUCAGCAUUGCUGCGGUGAAUACGUUCCCGGGCCUUGUACACACCGCCCGUCACGUCACGAAAGUCGGUAACACCCGAAGCCGGUGGCCUAACCCCUUGUGGGAGGGAGC